ACAGCAGCAGCCGCGGUAAUACAGAGGAUGCAAGCGUUAUCCGGAAUGAUUGGGCGUAAAGCGUCUGUAGGUGGCUCUUCAAGUCCGCCGUCAAAUCCUAGGGCUCAACCCUGGACAGGCGGUGGAAACUACCAAGCUGGAGUACGGUAGGGGCAGAGGGAAUUUCCGGUGGAGCGGUGAAAUGCGUUGGGAUCGGAAAGAACACCAACGGCGAAGGCACUCUGCUGGGCCGACACUGACACUGAGAGACGAAAGCUAGGGGAGCAGAUGGGAUUAGAUACCCCGGUAGUCCCUGUCUCUUAUAC
rnacentral:rRNA from 1 species